AGUCCUUGAAAUGUGGUUUGUAUUUUGUAUUGACGUAUUUGUAUAGGUUGAAUUGCACGUCCUCAAAAUCCAUGUGUCGAUGUCCCAGCCCCCAGGACUUCAGAAUGUGAGCUCAUAUGGAAGCAGGGUUGCUGCAGAUGUGAUUCGUAAAGAUGAGGCCCUGCAAGAGUUGAGUGUGUCCCUAACCCAGUACGACUGAUGUCGCUAUGAAGAAGGGAAGGUUGGACACCCAGAGAGCACACAAGAACACCACAUGAAGACUGAGUUAUGCUACCCAAGUGAAGACCGAUCAGAAUGUAGGAGAAAGUCUAGGACUGGGCUACUCCUACCUCCUUCAAAUGUGCAUGGCCUCCUCCUACACAGUGAGCUCAGACUCUCAGACUUCCAGCCUGCAGAAUGUUGGCAUUUUCCCAGCUCCUAGUCAAUGUUCUGGCAAACUUCUACAGUGGUUACUUGGAGAUGAAAGCAGGGACGCUUCCAUGGUGAAGAUCAGCGGGAAGAGGACACCACCUCUGCUUCUUCUGUGGUCAGAACAACCUCAGUCUACUCCGUGCAAAGGCAGUCAAUUUAUCGAUGUCGGAAGAUUCUGCAGUCUAAGGACUACAUGUCUGAAUAAUGUGCAUGUUUUAAUGCUCCCUUCUCUUGGUUACAGGCAGGCUAUCGGUGGGGCACAGGGGAGCUGCAAAAAUGACUGCAUUUAUUGGACUCAGUUGGCUCUGUGAAUAGCUCCCUUCCAACUCAUUGGCCAGUGUGAACUGUUUGCAAACUUUUUUAACAGUGGCUCUUUUGUUCUCAUCAUGAUAUCAGUAUGUGGUUAAUCUAUUAAACUGAGAAAACAAUGGGCCUGAUUCACAAACAUAAGUAAAGAAAUAAAAAUCUCCUGUGUUCCUAGCAUUCAGGGGG
ensembl:lincRNA